rnacentral:rRNA from 1 species
GAUGAACGCUAGCUACAGGCUUAACACAUGCAAGUCGAGGGGCAGCAGGACGAUAGCUUGCUAUUGUUGAUGGCGACCGGCGCACGGGUGAGUAACGCGUAUCCAACCUUCCCCUUAGUAGGGCAUAGCCCGGCGAAAGUCGGAUUAAUACCCUAUGUUAUUCGUAGAGGACAUCUGAAAUGAAUCAAAGAUUAAUCGCUAAGGGAUGGGGAUGCGUCCGAUUAGGUAGUCGGCGGGGUAACGGCCCACCGAGCCUUCGAUCGGUAGGGGUUCUGAUAGGAAGGUCCCCCACACUGGUACUGAUACACGGACCAUACUCCUACGGGAGGCAGCAGUGAGGAAUAUUGGUCAAUGGACGGGAGUCUGAACCAGCCAAGUAGCGUGCAGGACGACGGCCCUAUGGGUUGUAAACUGCUUUUAUACGGGGAUAAAGUCGCCCACGUGUGGGUGUUUGUAGGUACCGUAUGAAUAAGGACCGGCUAAUUCCGUGCCAGCAGCCGCGGUAAUACGGAAGGUCCGGGCGUUAUCCGGAUUUAUUGGGUUUAAAGGGAGCGCAGACGGGAGCUUAAGCGUGACGUGAAAUGUAGCCGCUCAACGGUUGAGUUGCGUCGCGAACUGGGUUUCUUGAGUGAGUACGACGCGGACGGAAUUUGUAGGUGUAGCGGUGAAAUGUUUAGAUAUCACGAAGAACCCCGAUUGCGAAGGCAGUCUGCGAGUCUUUUAUUGACGUUAAAGCUGGGAGUGGCGGGUAUCGAACAGGAUUAGAUAAAUAUGUUAGUCCCGGGCAUUCUGCGGAUAUUUGGGUUGGGUCAAACGCCGCUCCGCUGCCGCGCGCGGCGGGGCGGCGUACCGCCGCGGGGGCGCCGAUGCGGGCUCUUAGCACUCGG